UACGUAGGGGGCUAGCGUUGUCCGGAUUUAUUGGGCGUAAAGAGCGUGUAGGCUGCCCGGUAGGUCUGGUGUGAAAACUCGAGGCUUAACCUCGAGAUGUCAUCGGAAACCAUCUGGCUAGAGUCCGGAAGAGGAGAGUGGAAUUCCUGGUGUAGCGGUGAAAUGCGCAGAUAUCAGGAAGAACACCAAUGGCGAAAGCAGCUCUCUGGGACGGUACUGACGCUGAGACGCGAAAGCGUGGGGAGCGAACAGG
rnacentral:rRNA from 1 species